GGGUAUAUAGCUCAAGUAGUAGAGCGCAUGCUUAGCACUCAUGAGGUCCUGGGUUCAAUCCCCAGUACCUCCU
rfam:Camelus ferus unplaced genomic scaffold scaffold365, whole genome shotgun sequence.